rnacentral:rRNA from 1 species
CACGUAGGAGCCAAGCGUUAUCCGAAUUCACUGGGCGUAAAGCGCGUGCAGGCGGCUCGGUAAGUUGGAUGUGAAAGCUCCCGGCUCAACUGGGAGAGGACGUUCAAUACUGUCGGGCUAGAGGGCGACAGAGGGAGGUGGAAUUCCCGGUGUAGUGGUGAAAUGCGUAGAUAUCGGGAGGAACACCAGAGGCGAAGGCGGCCUUCUGGGUCGUACCUGACGCUCAGACGCGAAAGCUAGGGGAG